rnacentral:rRNA from 1 species
UAGGGAAUCUUCCGCAAUGGACGAAAGUCUGACGGAGCAACGCCGCGUGAGCGAAGAAGGCCUUCGGGUCGUAAAGCUCUGUUGUUAGGGAAGAAUAAGUACGAGAGUAUCUGCUCGUACCUUGACGGUACCUAACCAGAAAGCCACGGCUAACUACGUG